AGUGAACGCUGGCGGUAGGCCUAACACAUGCAAGUCGAACGGCAGCACAGUAAGAGCUUGCUCUUACGGGUGGCGAGUGGCGGACGGGUGAGGAAUACAUCGGAAUCUACUUUUUCGUGGGGGAUAACGUAGGGAAACUUACGCUAAUACCGCAUACGACCUACGGGUGAAAGCAGGGGAUCUUCGGACCUUGCGCGAUUGAAUGAGCCGAUGUCGGAUUAGCUAGUUGGCGGGGUAAAGGCCCACCAAGGCGACGAUCCGUAGCUGGUCUGAGAGGAUGAUCAGACACAUUGGAAGUGAGACACGGUCCAGACUCCUACGGGAGGAAGCAGUGGGGAAUAUUGGACAAUGGGCGUAAGCCUGAUCCAGCCAUACCGCGUGGGUGAAGAAGGCCUUCGGGUUGUAAAGUCAUUUUGUUGGGAAAGAAAAGCAGCAGGUUAAUACCCCGCUGUUCUGACGGUACCCAAAGAAUAAGCACCGGCUAACUUCGUG
rnacentral:rRNA from 1 species